CAUUUACUCGCUAGAUAGAUCGUCCUCGCUAGAUUUUACUUGUUGACCUAUCUAUAUAAUCUUAUUUGUUUCAUUCUGUUCUACAUAUUUUCUGUCCAGGGUCACAAGUGUGAAAGACAUUUUGCCAGUGUCCACAAGCUGGUGGGGGCGGCGGUAUUGGUCCGUUGACGUCACAAAUAUGGGGAAGGGGGAUAUUUUUCGAAGGAUUGUCCACAAGAGGGUCGCGGCGGUGGUGGAAGUCGUACCUGCCAUGAGAUAAACAAAAAACAAAAAAAACAUCAUUUUUAGUGCUCAUUUUUAACGAAGAAGAGGGCAAUAUAGCAAGGGAUUUUCCUCAAGGAGGAAGCAUUGGUGGCAGAAACUGUUAUGAUUGUAAAAGACCACACCUCGAAAGGCUACCCGAAUCUCUUCAGUGAAUUGACGGAAGAUGGAAAGCCACAUGAGCAAUACAUUCCAGAAGCUGUGACAUGUGAUGAAAAGGAACUGUUUAAGGGCAUUGUCUAUGUGGGAACGCUUUAACAAUUUUGAUAAAGUCGUCCUCCAUGCUACAGGAAAAGAUGUACUUCAAUACAUAACAUCAUUCGAAGAAGCCGGCCUGCACCAACUACUACUUCAAAACAUUAAGAAUUCUGACUACAUAAAAUCAACACCUGUUUAGAAAGCUUCAGUUGUAGUUAUUCUUGCCAAAAGAGGUUUAAUUGCUUGUGCGGUCACGGGCUCCGGAAAAAGGUAAUCCAACUAAUUAACGCUGUGUAAUUUUGAAACCUUGAUGCCCUCGUACUGACUUGAUUCGAAUGGAUCGGUAUGAACUGGGUAAGUUGAAGUAAAAGUAAUUUUGAGUGGGCACGCCGGUGAUUGCGACUUAUAAAAGGUCCAAUUGCAUCUAAGAUACUCAACAAACCCUUCGUGAUAUUCGUUGAUUAAGUCAUCUAAAAUUUUACAUUUUUUCAUGCAGGCGGCGUACUUGGUACCGGUUAUGAACAUAUUGUUAGAACAAGGUGUUGUUGGUGCGUCUCAUGCCAUGGGGCAAAAGCCAGAAGUUGUAAUUGUCGCACCCACUCGUGAAUUGGCCAUUCAAAUUCACCGCGAGGCGUGUAAAUUCUCCUACAGUUCGGUUUUAAAGUCUGUGAUUAUAUAUGGAGGGACUCUCACGAGCCAUCAGCGGUCAAAUCUUCAAGCUGGGUGCAAUAUUUUUGUUGCGACCGCGGGGCGAUUCAAUGAUUUUCUCGACCGUGAAGUAUUUGACUUCUCGGGAGUCAGGUUUUAAAUUUUGGACGAAGCUGAUCGAAUGCUUGAUAUGGGUUUCGGUCCCAAUGUUGAAAAAAUUGUCAAUCAUCCAACGAUGCAUCCGAAAGGAAUCCGUCGUGUUUGUAUGUUUUCGGCUACAUUCCCAGAUGAAGUGCAAGAGCUGGCUGCGACGUACAUGGAAGACUACAUAUUCGUCACAACAGGCAUUGUCGAUGGCAUCAAUCCGGGUAUUGAACAGCUGUUUUUUCAGUGCUCGAAAAGAGAUAAGAGAGCUAAGCUGAUCGAAGUUUUACAAGAUCUUGGUGGUGCCAAGACUAUCCUUUUUGUCAACAGCAAAAAGACCGCGGAUUUCGUCGCUGCAUUCUCGUGCAAUAACAACUUACAAGUAAAAAUCAAAACUGUUGGA